rnacentral:rRNA from 1 species
UACGUAGGGUGCAAGCGUUAAUCGGAAUUACUGGGCGUAAAGCGCACGUAGGCGGAUCGAUCAGUCAGGGGUGAAAUCCCAGGGCUCAACCCUGGAACUGCCUUUGAUACUGUCGAUCUGGAGUAUGGAAGAGGUGAGUGGAAUUCCGAGUGUAGAGGUGAAAUUCGUAGAUAUUCGGAGGAACACCAGUGGCGAAGGCGGCUCACUGGUCCAUUACUGACGCUGAGGUGCGAAAGCGUGGGGAGCAAACAGG